GACGAACGCUGGCGGCGUGCUUAACACAUGCAAGUCGAACGGAAAGGCCCUGCUUUUGUGGGGUGCUCGAGUGGCGAACGGGUGAGUAACACGAGAGUAACCUGCCCUUGACUUUGGGAUAACUUCAGGAACCUGGGGCUAAUCCCGGAUAGGAGCCCCUGCUCCAUGGUGGGGGUUGGAAAGUUUCGGCGGUUGGGGAUGGACUCGCGGCUUAUCAGCUUGUUGGUGGGGGAGUGGCUUACCAAGGCUUUGACGGGUAGCCGGCCUGAGAGGGUGACCGGCCACAUUGGGACUGAGAUACGGCCCAGACUCCUACGGGAGGCAGCAGUGGGGAAUAUUGCACAAUGGGCGGAAGCCUGAUGCAGCAACGCCGCGUGCGGGAUGACGGCCUUCGGGUUGUAAACCGCUUUCGCCUGUGACGAAGCGUGAGUGACGGUAAUGGGUAAAGAAGCACCGGCUAACUACGUG
rnacentral:rRNA from 1 species